rnacentral:lncRNA from 1 species
ACUAUGUCUCAAAAAAAAAAAAAAGAAUAUUGAAUCUUUCUACCAAUGAACCAAUGAGCAGGGUAUAAUUUUUUAUAAUUUAAGGUGUUUUCUACAAGUCAAGUUUGUUGAUCAUGCUCUUCAUAUCAUUGAUAUAAUCAUUAAUUUUAUAUUUAUUUCACCAAUUAUUGAGAGAGAGGUGUGAAAUCUCCCACUGUGAGUAUAGAGUUAAUUAUUUCUCCUUUAAUUCUAUUACUUAGUAUUAUAUACAUUAUGGCUUUGUUAUUAGGGGUAUAAAUAUUUAGGAAUAUAUUCUCUUCUUGAAUGGACCUCAUUAUUAUGAAAUGACCUUGUUUAACCUGGCAUUAUUCUUUGCUCUGAAAUUCUCUUUCCCAUAUUAACUUAGCUUCUUUAGUGUUUCUUGUUUAGUGUUAGCCAGACAUAUUAUUUUUCAUCCUUUUAUUCUUAUUUUUACUUAUCUUUUCUUUUAUUUUUAAAGUGUGUUUAUUUGUAGGCAUCAUGUUGUUGGGCUGUCCUUUUUAAUCCAACCUGACAACCUAUUUAUUAAUUGUGUUAUAAAGACUAUGUACUUUUAAUGUGAUAAUUAAUCAUGUUAGCUUUAAAUAUAGUAACUUGUAGUAUUUGGAUAGUAUACUAUAGCAUUUGUUUUAAGUAUAUCCUAUUUUCUGUCUGUUCACUUUGUCCUUCCUUCCUUCUUUUUAAUCCAAAAUUUUUCAUUAUUACAUUGUAGCUAUGUUGGCUUGAGUAGACUGUAACAUUUUGUUUUGUUAUUUUACUGGUUUAUUAAGCUUUACAUCUUUACCUUAUUGUUCUCUACAUUAAAGAGAUAUUCUACUUUACAUAAAAUAAUGAUAGCAUCAAUACUAUGUUAUUCUAUUUGGUACUUAUUAUUCUCAAUAUUAGUGUCAUUGCUGUCAUACAGUAUAUUUUUACAUGUGGUAGAAAUUCUACAGAUCAGUAUUUGUAAACACUCAAUUACCAUUGAAGUGACUUAAAUAAAAAUAAAAGUAUCCAAUACAUUUAACUGUGUAGGUAUGCUGUCUUUGCUCUCUAUUCCUUUGUGCAUCCAUGCUCCCAUCCAGUAUCAUUUUUUCUCCCUCAUAAAGAGUUUCCUUUAAUAUUUCAUAUAGCGUGGGUCUCCGGGUGUUGAACUUUCUUCAGCUUUUGUUUGUCUACAAUGCCUUUUAACUUUUAUUUUGUAAAGAUAUCUUCUCUGGUAUAGAAUUCUAGGUUGAAUUUUUCUUUUACCAGGAUUUAAAAGAUAUAGGUCCGGGCGUGUGCUGCAGUGUCUUAGCAUGCUGGAGUGGUUGGGGUGAGAAGAACCAUGAGAAGCCAAGUAAAUCCACUAGAGGAAAAACCCCAGAACUGAAGUUACAGAAAAUGAAUUACAGCAGCACAAUGGCAGCUAGAUUAUUUUUGCUUUUGUCUCCAGUUUGUAUCAGCAGAGUCUAAUAUUCAAUUAAAUAUACAGUUUACUUUACUGUUCUAAUUGUACUGAGAUCCCAAAGGUAAACGACCCCCAUCCUUCCAGACAGCAGCAGGGCUGCAUGAAGACUGACAGACCCCCGGCCCCCACAUUCCUUGUCCUUCUUAGAGGCUAAAAGCCUAUUUUGUCCCUGGUCAUGGAAUAGCCCAGUUUAGCCUCUUGUCAGUGAAAGCCAUCAGUCCCAUGUACGUCUCCAUGAGGAGGAGACCUCCAAGACCACCACACCAUUUGCUUGACUUGUGUAGGCUGCUGAAUACAGGGAGGUACCCAGUAUCUCGAAUGCCUGCGGUCGCAAAUAUAUUUACAUUUGGUGUCAGAUUUUGUAUUUUAAAACUUAAUCAAUUUUUUUAAAGAUCAUUCAAAAGCAGCCAGGAGACUAGUUCACUAAGAUCAGACUGCGUCUACAGCUCCCGAGUGAAUCGCUGUUCUUUUGUAAAGGUGUGUUUGACCUAAAGUCACACUUUUUCUAAAAUUAAUCCAGUUAAUACUUGAAGUAUCUUUCCAAACCCAAGAAGGUUUACAGAAAGUCACCUUGACAGUUCUUUGCACACAAUGUCGACAACUAUAUGUAUUCUAAGUUUGUAUUGUAUUUAUCUUUCAAAGGCAAAGGGGUAGUUUGCUUUUUGGAGAAGGCACUUUUAUAAAGGAACCAUGUCAGAUCCUCAUGAGGCAGCUGACGCCUGCCUUGCUUCCUACAGCUCCCACGUAGAUGUGGGGCUCUGUCCAAGUCUGGCGUUAAACGUGCCCGAGCUUCUGGCGUUAAACAUGCCCUGGAGGAUUUCCGCACGGAUAUCACGCACCUCCCUGCAACCGUACAAACUGCGUGCUUACUGACUGGAAGCUUUGUCAACACGCUUGACCUGCUGGCUCGCCAGUUCUUUCUUUCUCCUUAGGACUGUUUUAACUUUAAGCAAACAGCGUGGUGUUGUCCCAGUGCGGCCGGUCGCCUGCGGGAUGCUCAGGGCUGCCUCAGAAACCCGCCAAGGACUUCAGCCUUUGUGUUUAUAAAGACAUUUAGAACCAGAUAGAUGCUUCUCUUUUGAAGUUCUUAUUAAAGUAGGUGCAACAACCAACAAAUUAAUAAUAAUAAUAAUAAAAGAUAUAGGACCACUGUCUUCUAGUUUGCAUUGUUUUGAAUAAGGAAUAUAAUACCACCUUUAUACUUUUUCCUGUCUGUGACUUGUCUAUUUUCAAUAAUUGGUUUAAGAGUUUCAUUUAGCAUUGAUUUUGGGCAAUUUGAUUAUGGUGUACAUAUACUAGCGCUCUUAAUGAUUUGUGUGUAUGUUUGUGUGUGUGCACAUGGGUGGGUUAAGUUUCUUGGGUGUUUAAGUUAAUAUUUUUAUCGACUUGAGAAUGGCUCACGAAUUUUAAAAAUAUAUAUAUUUUUAUUUUUUUCUUCUUUAGGACUGCAAUUAUAUGUAUUUUAGGUUGCCUCAUUUGACUGCAAUUAUAUAUAUUUUAGGUUGCUUCAUUUGUCCACAGCUCACUUGUAUUCAGUUGAUUUUGUUUUUGUUUUUGUUUUCUCUUUUUUCUCCCAAUUCCAUCUUAGAGAACUUCUACCACUCUGUCUUUGAGUUCACUAAGUUUUUAUCCGCAAUGUUUAUUCUGUCAAUAAUUUUAUCCAAUGUAUUUUUAAAUUACACAUUGUAAAUUUUAUCUCUAGAAGUUCAAUCUGAGUUUUUUUAUAUCUAAUAUGUCUCCACUUAUCUUUUAAACAUACAGAAUACAUUUAAAAUAAAUAUUUCUAUAUGCUUAUCUGCCAAUUUCUUAUGUGCAUCUGAGUCAUAUCAAGAUCAAUUUUUAAUUUAUUUUCCUAAUUAUGGUUCAUAAUUUUUCUACCGGUUUUUAUUUCUGGCGAUAUUUUAAUAGAUGCCAAACAUUGUAAAUUGUACCUUGCUAUGGCACUGAAUAUUUUUGCUUGUAUGAAUGCAUUUUAGUGUUAUUUUUGUACACGGCAUAGUAUCUUGGAAACAGUUUGAUCCUUUGCAGUUGUUUUAAAAUUCGUUAGGUAGUACCUGAACAGUUCUCAGUCGCGGAUUAAUUAUUACCCAUCAUUGAUGCAAGACCCUUUGGCGAGAGGCCCUUCUUUAAAACAAGACACAGUGCCCCAGGAAUCACAACCUUUCUCUUGUCUCAUUGGUGGCAACAGGCACUGUUCCUGGCUCUCUAGUCUUUUCAGGUCUCUUUUUUUCCGCCACAGCCUCAGGUCAUUUGCUCACAUUCAUGUGCUCAUCUGCUGAAAACUCAAGCAGAACUGUGUUCCAUCGUCCAAAGCUCUCUCUUUCUCUGUGUGCAACUUUCUCCUCCCAGUAUUCCAUAAUGUAAACUAGCUAUCUUAGACUCCCCAGAUUCUCGAUUCUAUCUCCUCAAUUUACAGAGGCUACAAGUCUCCUCCAGGGCCUUGAAUCUCUGCGCUGUAUCCGGGAAACAUCCAUGGCAAUAAGAACAAAAAAUAGUAGGGCUCAACAGGCCUUCCCAGCCAUGCUGAACUGUGAGUCAAUUAAACCUCUUUCCUUUAUAAGUUACCCUGAGAUAUAAUAGUAUUUUUUGGAAUUGUUUGCAUUAAGAAUGUCAUAAUGAAUUGUGACGAAAUCUGAUUCGAUGAAAUCGAAUUCUAAUUGUAACACCAGACCACUGAUUUUAUCUGGGAAGCUAAAAAUUACCAUUACUCACCAAGAGUCAGUCCUCAUAGAGGAUCUUUUCCAUAAAGUAUGUUUGUUGUUGCAUGCAUCAAUUUCAAGGGAUUAAAGUAUAUUUUACCUACAAGAGAGUCUUCAGCUCUUGAACUCCAGGAUUCUCACCAGUGGCCAACAGUUUCUCAGACCUUAGGUUUUGAAUUGAGUUACGUCAUCAGCUUUCCUGGUUUUAAGGCUUUCAAACAUGGAUUGGCUUCUCUGAUUCUCCAGUUUGCUGACAACCUAUCCUGGGACUUUCCUGCCAUCAUAAGUGAGACCUGUGAAGAAUUCUACCUUCAGACAACUGCUCAACUGGAUUGAAUCUGGGAGAAGAAGAUGGGGGCAUUAUUUCUUGACAGCCACCUAGAUUCCAACAGCAUCAUGCAACAAAUGGUACUAAGACCUUCAGAACCCUUGAAGAGCUAAUCAGCACUUAUGCAUGAAGGCAAUGUUCUAAACCUUAGUGGUCAGGAAAUGUUUGAGAUUUGAAACAGUUGUUUGAAGUUGAGGCAGAAAGUAAUAAAGAAUACUAAAAUUAUCAAAGAAACACCAAACACAAAUCAAUAGCAUCCAAAUGAGCUUUACCUUUAUAGCUGGUACUCUUUCUGUCCUCUUUUCUGCUUCCUAAGAGAUGUUUUUUGGUGAUUUGGUCCUCCUAAGUGCAUGCACAUUGGACAGGAUAGUAUGAGUAUGAUUAGAGUGUAAGCAUGACUAGAAGCACAAGUUAAUUUAUGAGUGAUUGAAUAAAAGUAAUUUUGUGAAAAAUAAGAACAAGUUCUUUUGGUUUAUAUUUUGGCAUGCUUUCUUUCACCAUUUUAAAGAGAUCUUUCCAAGAUGAAAUACAUUGCAGAAAUACAUAUCUGUCACCUAUUUAGAAAAUGACAUUCAUUUGAAAAUGAGCCACUGUGAAUUAGAUACAAAGAGAGGUCAAAGUUAAUAAACAGAGGCAUUUAUGUGAAUAGAAAUGUGCUAAUGUUUAUUAUUAUGGCAU